AUUGAACGCUGGCGGCAGGCCUAACACAAGCAAGUCGAGCGGAUGAAGGGAGCUUGCUCCUGGAUUCAGCGGCGGACGGGUGAGUAAUGCCUAGGAAUCUGCCUGGUAGUGGGGGAUAACGUCCGGAAACGGGCGCUAAUACCGCAUACGUCCUGAGGGAGAAAGUGGGGGAUCUUCGGACCUCACGCUAUCAGAUGAGCCUAGGUCGGAUUAGCUAGUUGGUGGGGUAAAGGCCUACCAAGGCGACGAUCCGUAACUGGUCUGAGAGGAUGAUCAGUCACACUGGAACUGAGACACGGUCCAGACUCCUACGGGAGGCAGCAGUGGGGAAUAUUGGACAAUGGGCGAAAGCCUGAUCCAGCCAUGCCGCGUGUGUGAAGAAGGUCUUCGGAUUGUAAAGCACUUUAAGUUGGGAGGAAGGGCAGUAAGUUAAUACCUUGCUGUUUUGACGUUACCAACAGAAUAAGCACCGGCUAACUUCGUG
rnacentral:rRNA from 1 species